AGUUGUUGUGUUUCAACAAAUACAUUUCCAUUGAAAAGCAAAUUUAACAUUUGAAAAGAUUAAAUGGAUGUUAAUCAGUCAGGCAUCGUAUUUUCAAACAUGCCAGUCUUUUUUCUAAUGUGUGAAACAUUAUAGCACUCAAAAGCAUUCUUUCUAAUCUUACUCUAUUAAUCCUAUUCUUAAUGUACAUAAUAGUAAACCUAUUGUGUCGUGUUUGCUUUAUUAAAAUGCGUGUUCAAAUUAGUGAUUUCUGUCUCUCUGUCUUAACUCAGGGUUAAUGAGGUUGGCUGACUAAUGCCUAUUUAAUUUCUCUAACCUCUGCAAUGUAAUUGAAGUGAGAUGUGAAUGCAACAUGUUUAACCUCCCAGCAAACAAGAGCCUUCAAGCUCCUGGUCUGAAGCAGUGCUAUCAUCAUCAUCUGUGAUAGCAGAUUACCUUUCAAAACAGAGGGAACGCGUAACGUGACUGGGUGCUUGUAAUGACUUCCUUAUGUUCCCAAACAUUUCCUUUAAGGCUUGCCGAUGUGUGGGUUUUAGUGCUUCCUUCAGUUAAUCAGAGAUGUCUGAAUGGAACAUCAAGGACUCUCAGCACUGGGGCAUUGCGGGACCUCGUAGGCAAUGCACUACAUUGUUGAUAGCGGGGAGCCGAACUCCUGGGUGAGAUGUUUGUGGGAUCCUGCGGGGAGCCGAGGAAAUCCACGCUUCAGAGGCACGGUGCCCUGCCGAGAGAGCUUUCACAGAGCCACUCGCUGCAGCUCGUGGAGAAAAUGCUGAACUUCUAAGUGCUCACCAGUGUGUGUCUCAUCCAGCCCGAGGGAAAUAACCGGGAUGUGUUUAUAAAACACGCUCUUGCCGCCAGCAUGCAGGAGGGCAUGGGAGAAAAUGGGAUCCCGUGUCGCAGCAGCCCAUGCUCGUUAUUGGCGUGAAACAGCUGAGAGAGGGGUUGUGCGAUGUGUUGUAACUAGAAGGAAGAUCGGUAGCUGCCAUGUCUACAGGCUUCUUGUGGGAUGAGUGGUGUGUAGUUUUAUUUCUGAUUUUAUUAUCGGUCUGUCAGUCCUUUUGAAAACAUUCCUGGGGAAGAGUGGCUCGCCGUUAGGAAUCCUUACAGCUUUUCUGCAGUCUUUUACUAUGAAUGUAGGGCAUUUAAUUCACAUUAUAGGAACGUUUGCCUUUUUACCUUCUAAUCAAACAGAGCAGGCAUACAUCUGCAUAUUAAAAUAACUUAUGAAUGGCAUACAAAAAUGUGGUGCUGGUUUCUAAUAGCGAGGGUCAAGUUUGGUUACCAAAAUCCAUCAGCACUUCCCAGCCAGCAGAAUCUGGUUUUGCUUUAGGGUGGUUGUGUUGCAUGGGGCUGACACCACUGAAAGGUCUCAUUUAGCUGUAAUUUGCAGGCAUUGAAUAAAGAUGCCAGCCCUAAAUUUUAGCCUGGAAAGCAGGAGCAAGCAGCUAGAUGUUUGACCUAUGCCGUUUUGUGCCAGGUUGUCAGUGCAGCGGGUAGCUUGGGUCUCGUAUGUUUUUACAUUUCAGGUUUAAGAGCCCAGGACAAUUUGUAGUCCCCCAUGAGUCCUGCUUCAUCCAUCAGUUUCCCAUCUGUAAAUUAGGGGUAGCUCCCUAAGUAGGAGGUCUUCACUGGUGCCAAACGAGUAACUCUUUCCUCAAAAUCUUCGGAAUACAAAACUUUAGUAAAAUUUCUCAUGCAGUAAUAAUCACUGCUCUUCCCAUGCUCGGAAUAAAAAUGAUGGGUCUGUUGCUGUAAGACCAGCUCUGCUGGCCAUGCCGAGAGUAGUUAUGUUAAUCACCACGGGAAGGCUGCGUUUCAGAAGAGAACAGAAAACAUUCCUCUACUCGUUUUUAGAAAGCCUUUCAAGAAAGACUUCUUCCUUCUGGGUGCCUGUGCUGCGUAAUCUGGAAUAUUGUUGAACAUCAGGUGGAUCCAGAAAGGGGUGCUGAGUGGUACCAAGAGUCGCUGCGCCCUCUCAGAACAUCUGGGAGGUUUCUGUGUCUGGAAUGUGCAGAUCCCCUACCAUGUAAGCCGCAAUCUGUGCUGUAGAAGCACAAUUUCUAAUGCAAAGUAAAACAAACUCAGAAAAAAAUUGAUACGCAGUUUCCUGCUUUCAUCCUUACAUCACGUUUCUAGCCUAAAUAAGACAGCUAUGAUCAGCAUAUGCUGAUGAAGGGUGGUAUUUUGUUCUUGGGUAUUUGCUUCAUCACCGGCAUCUGUGGCCCAAAGGAAAAAUCCAGCUAAGGGCUGGUUGGCAAAAAAAACAUCCAAGUGUAGUGCUGCUCUCUCCUGUGGCCAUUACCAAAACAGCAGUGGCUUAAGGCAAAGAAAAUGAGACGGGCAAAUGCAAUUUUUAAAGAAAAUCCUUCAUGCCCUCGUGAGUUUUGAGGUAGGUUUACCGACCAGAGUCUUCUUUCCAAGGGAGCUUACCCCCCUCCCACCCGAGGGACAGUCGGCUGCUCGGGAUGAGCUGAGGCAUUGCUGGGUUUGCCAGGGCCCCCCAGGCUGUCUUGCUUCUUCCUUGGACCUGUGAACCUGUAAAGCUGUGUUGGCCUGCCUCACUGCUGAGUUUGUACUAGUAAUGCUUCAACAUACUGAUAUCCACAGAGAAAGGAUUACGGUCUAUAAAAGGCAACAUUUUCCAAACUUGGGCCUUAUCUUGUUUAAUCAUAGUCUUAAACUCUGCUCUGAUUAAAGUCACAGACCCAAGUGUGUUUGUGUUUUUUCUCUUUGCAUACAAUUGGGGAAAAAAACAAUUCCUCACAGGGUGUUGCAUGACAGUCCGGAAAAGGAGGCAGAUGCAACCAUUCUGCAGGUUCAUCAAAGUGUUUAAAGAACACAUAUUUGGCUUUCAGGAUAUUAUCAAUCAAAUGCUUAUUUUGGAGUUGUUGCUAUCAUCCAAGUCUAGGUUUAAAGAUCAAAUCAGAAGGUCAAGAUUUCAGACAUUUCCCUCCACGGACCUCUUCUGGGCAUAUGGGUUUUUUGAUGCAAAGAUAGACGGCUGGAUUUUCAAAACUGUUGAAUACAUAGCAACUGCAAAUGAUCUCCGAGGGAAGACUUUUAAAGCUCCAAAAGGGCACAGAGCAGCUGUACCCUUUAGCAACUUGAGGAAACUUCAUUAAGUGAAUGGGAACAACUGUCUGCUCCGAUAACCUGCUACCCCGUGCAGGUGCCUGGCUCUCAGCUAAUGUUUUUUUAAUGCCUUGGCUGCAGUAAUGCUUCUGAAGCUAGGCAGUCUCUACUAGGAGCAUAUUUGAAAUUGUGAGCCAAAAUUUGUGUGUGGUUUACUGGUGCAUUGUUGUGAUGCUAUUGUUUAUCUAUCUGCACUUCCAGUAAAAAUGCAUUCCUUUUUACAGUUUCAAUAUAUUUUCUUUAUAUUUUAGAAUGGCUUUUAGACCAUUAAUGCUCAUUUUUUUUUAAUCUCCUCA